GAUGAACGCUGGCGGUCUGCUUAACACAUGCAAGUCGAACGAAGUAGAAAUACUGAGUGGCGGACGGGUGAGUAACGCGUAAGAAUCUAGCUUUUGGACGGGGAAAACAGUGGGAAACUGCUGCUAAUACCGGAUGAGCCGAGAGGUAAAAGGAGAAAUCCGCCAAAAGAUGAGCUUGCGUCCGAUUAGCUAGUUGGGGGUGUAAGAGACUCCCAAGGCGACGAUCGGUAGCUGGUCUGAGAGGACGAUCAGCCACACUGGGACUGAGACACGGCCCAGACUCCUACGGGAGGCAGCAGUGGGGAAUUUUCCGCAAUGGGCGAAAGCCUGACGGAGCAAGACCGCGUGGGGGAGGAAGGUUCUUGGAUUGUAAACCCCUUUUCUCAGGGAAGAAGCUCUGACGGUACCUGAGGAAGAAGCAUCGGCUAACUCCGUGCCAGCAGCCGCGGUAAAAC
rnacentral:rRNA from 1 species